AAAGGAAAAUUGACAAAGGUUGAAAUUGUGGCAAAGCAACGCGGGCGAUAUUUUCAAUCUCCAAAAUUUUCACUCGCGCCCAUACUUCAUCUCUUCCCUCUUCUGUCUUUUAUUUUCCAAAUCAAUCCUAAACUCAAAUCAGUAGUUUGCAGUUGCACAAAUCAUCAAUUUCUUCAACACUAUCAUUUUCCCUUUUGUUCGAAUCAUGAACUCGAAUCUGGUUGUACCCAAAAAACCCUAAAAUCAUGAAGAAAUCCAUUAAUCCUAAUCCCUAAUCGUUUUAUUUCGUCCUUGUUUCCGACCCUAAUCAUUCUUCUCUUUAUGGAUUGUUUCCAAUUCCGCUUGCUAGGUUCUCUUUCUACGCAUACUGGUCCGUCUCAAAAGGUUUUAUAAUCUUUUUUCCAUCAGAUUUAGAGGGACACCAAGGAGUCUUCUUCAUCCACCCGCGAGUCUCUAUGAUAUCCAAAUCAAGCUUUUAUCUUCUGAUUCCUCUUUUUCAUUUUAGGCACUCAUUUUUAUUUCUACACCCUUUUUUAUACAUUUGAGUUGUAUAGCAUCAUUAGUUCCAUUUGCUUUCAAUAUGUUUAGUAUAGUUAUUAUUUGAGACAACAAAGAGAAAUAAAAAAAAAAUCAAAAUAAUAUAAACUAAACAUCUUUGUGUGUAUAUUAGUGUGCAUUUUUUAAAGGGUAAUUAAGUAUGGGCCAUCAUGUGCUUCACCUUUAGUAAAAUCAGCUUUAUAGUUUUGUUAAAUAGACUCAUAUUUUGCGAUUUUGAUUUUAGUUAGGUUUUGAUUUUUUUUCUUUCAUUUUUAACUAUGUGUGUAGUUUUUUUUAUACUUUGGGUGAUCUUGGGACCAAGUGUACUGUUUUGGAAGACAAAAUUUAGUGGAGGAUGUAUUUUGUUGCCUAAAUGUUGAUGUCUGAUCCGUGUUUUUCCUGCAUUUUCUCUAUCGUUUCUGGAUCAUUGUUGUUUUGUUUCUGGUGCAGGGCAGUUUCAGUUUUGGUGUUAUGACAGGGUUCUCAUGUAUUGGUUUUUGUUGUUACGCGUUGGGGAUUGUUGUUUGUUUUUCUUCUGUUCUGAUUUUGCGGUUAUCCGUUGGAUUUUAGGCUCUAUUAGUGCUGGUUUAGGGUGGUUACUACUGUAGUUUUGUUUAGCAGGUGGUGUUGUCUUGUUGAGCCUUUUUAGGCUUUUCUAAUUGACUCAAAAGUUACCAAGCCACAAUCAAUAUGAAACAAUGAACUAUGUAUACUAUAUAUUAGAUAUACCCCUUAUUUCAAAGAUAACUUAUUUUCUUGUAGUGUCAAUUUUAAGUUCUCAUUUUCUUUAUUUUAAUGACAUCAAUAGUUAUAUUUUAACUUUUUUUUUGGUCAAGAGUUAUAUUUUAACUUUAAAUAUAGAACACUUGAUACUCACUAUGCCUAAGAUGAAAUAACUUAGUUACUUUCACAUGUUCAGCUUCUCAUUAGAACACAUACUAGCAUUGUUCUAGUACUCAAGAAGAGUUGAAGCACUUGAUUUGCUCAUUACUUGUUUGAUGGGAUGCUCUUUAGUUACUAAUUGAUUACCACAAAAAUGAAAGUUGUAAUUGUUAUGGAUGAAAAAUACUUUAUAAAAUUGACACUAUUUUAUGAUUCUAGACUUUUGUUGAAGUUAGGAGGCUCAUGUUGGAUACUUGUUGAACUGAAUUUUUUUUUCUGGUGGUGUCAAUUAUAGUUAGAAAUUUAGCCUGGUGCAGUGUAUUUAUAUUGUAACAUUGUAUUCCUGCAUACUGUUGUCAUUGUUGUGGAUGAGAAGUACUUUAUUAAAUCCGUCAGAGAAAAUCGAAUCAUUGGCCCUGUAUCAAUGGAAUCUCAUUACUUUAUGAUGUUAGGUUUUUGUCAAGGUUAGGAUGCUCAUGUUGGAUAGAACUCCUUGUUCAAGUCAUUCAAAGCUUUAAAGCUCUAUCAACGUCAAUAUGUUCGAGCUGUAAAACAAGGUAGUCACAUCAAGUGAGAAGUUUGAUAGGCUGGCUUCUGGGAAAAUACAUGUGCUGCUUCAAAUGAUAUAAAGAUUUUUGCUACGAGUGCUUUUCCUUGUCCAUAUCUACACAAUCCUUCGGAUAUCUAUUUCAGGAUCAUAAACAGGUUAAACCGAAAGUGAUGUAAAAGAUACAUAAAGGAACUAUAGAGCUUAUAAAGACACUUCACAGAGAUCAAUCUAGAGAUGACAUAGACUAUGUAAGUCAUGAGCUAGAAACUCUAUAUGUUGGAUUAAGCUUCUACUAGCUAGGUUCAAGACCAAACAAAUUAUCCAAGUCCACACAUUGAUGAAGAUGGAAGAGAUGAAGAUUAGAAGCUAAUUAUAUUUCGACGAAUUAGCUUAGUUACUUUUCGUUAUGUACUUUUGAUAUUAUGUAGUGCCACAGUGGUGCAUUUGAUACUUUGUAAGAACGACAAAUUUUUAUGUUAAUGUUACAAAUUUGGUGUUGAUCAAAA